UACGUAGGGCGCAAGCGUUGUCCGGAUUCACUGGGUGUAAAGGGUGCGCAGGCGGACUGGCAAGUCAGGGGUGAAAUCUCACAGCUCAACUGUGAAACUGCCUUUGAUACUGCUGGUCUUGAGUCAGGGAGAGGCUGAUGGAAUUCCAGGUGUAGCGGUGAAAUGCGUAGAUAUCUGGAGGAACACCGGUGGCGAAGGCGGCAUCCUGGACCAACACUGACACUGAGGAGCGAAAGCCAGGGGAGCAAACGGG
rnacentral:rRNA from 1 species